rnacentral:rRNA from 1 species
UACGUAGGGUGCGAGCGUUGCCCGGAUUCAUUGGGCGUAAAGCGCGCGCAGGCGGCGCCGCGCGUCCCGCGUGAAAUCGCCCGGCUCAACCGGGCGGGGUCGCGGGAGACGGCGGCGCUGGAGCGAGGGAGGGGGCAGUGGAAUUCCCGGUGUAGUGGUGGAAUGCGUAGAUAUCGGGAGGAACACCAGUGGCGAAGGCGGCUGCCUGGACCUCUGCUGACGCUGAGGCGCGAAAGCGUGGGGAGCGAUC